GACGAACGCUGGCGGCGUGCUUAACACAUGCAAGUCGAACGGAAAGGCCUCUUUCGGGGGGUACUCGAGUGGCGAACGGGUGAGUAACACGUGAGUAACCUGCCCUUGACUUUGGGAUAACUUCAGGAAACUGGGGCUAAUACCGGAUAGGAGCUCCUGCUGCAUGGUGGGGGUUGGAAAGUUUCGGCGGUUGGGGAUGGACUCGCGGCUUAUCAGCUUGUUGGUGGGGUAGUGGCUUACCAAGGCUUUGACGGGUAGCCGGCCUGAGAGGGUGACCGGCCACAUUGGGACUGGGAUACGGCCCAGACUCCUACGGGAGGCAGCAGUGGGGAAUAUUGCACAAUGGGUGGAAGCCUGAUGCAGCAACGCCGUGUGCGGGAUGACGGCCUUCGGGUUGUAAACCGCUUUCGCUCAUGACGAAGCUUUGUGUGACGGUAGUGGGUAAAGAAGCACCGGCUAAAUACGUG
rnacentral:rRNA from 1 species